GACGAACGCUGGCGGCGUGCUUAACACAUGCAAGUCGAACGGAAAGGCCCUGCUUUUGUGGGGUGCUCGAGUGGCGAACGGGUGAGUAACACGUGAGUAACCUGCCCUUGACUUUGGGAUAACUUCAGGAAACUGGGGCUAAUACCGGAUAGGAGCUCCUGCUGCAUGGUGGGGGUUGGAAAGUUUCGGCGGUUGGGGAUGGACUCGCGGCUUAUCAGCUUGGUGGUGGGGUAGUGGCGUACCAAGGCUUUGACGGGUAGCCGGCCUGAGAGGGUGACCGGCCACAUUGGGACUGAGAUACGGCCCAGACUCCUACGGGAGGCAGCAGUGGGGAAUAUUGCACAAUGGGCGGAAGCCUGAUGCAGCAACGCCGCGUGCGGGAUGACGGCCUUCGGGUUGUAAACCGCUUUCGCCUGUGACGAAGCGUGAGUGACGGUAAUGGGUAAAGAAGCACCGGCUAACUACGUG
rnacentral:rRNA from 1 species